rnacentral:rRNA from 1 species
UAGGGAAUCUUGCGCAAUGGGCGAAAGCCUGACGCAGCGACGCCGCGUGAGGGAAGAAGGCCUUCGGGUUGUAAACCUCUUUCAGGAGGGACGAAGCUACUCGGGUGAACAGCCCAGAGGGUGACGGUACCUCCAGAAGAAGCCCCGGCUAACUACGUGCCGGCAGCCGCGGUAAUACGUAGGGGGCGAGCGUUGUCCGGAUUUACUGGGCGUAAAGCGCGUGUAGGCGGCCGUACAGGUCUGUUGUGAAACUGGAGGCUCAACCUCCAGACGUCGAUAGAAACCGUGCGGCUAGAGUCCGGAAGAGGAGAGUGGAAUUCCUGGUGUAGCGGUGAAAUGCGCAGAUAUCAGGAAGAACACCAAUGGCGAAGGCAGCUCUCUGGGACGGUACUGACGCUGAGACGCGAAAGCGUGGGGAGCGAACAGGAUUAGAUACCCUGGUAGUCCACGCCGUAAACGAUGGGUGCUAGGUGUGGGAGGUGUCGACUCCUUCCGUGCCGCAG